UACGUAGGUGGCAAGCGUUGUCCGGAAUUACUGGGCGUAAAGCGUGCGCAGGCGGCUAUGCAAGACAGGUGUGAAAUCCCCGGGCUCAACCUGGGAACUGCACUUGUGACUGCAUGGCUAGAGUGCGUCAGAGGGAGGUGGAAUUCCGCGUGUAGUGGUGAAAUGCGUAGAGAUGCGGAAGAACACCAGUGGCGAAGGCGGUCAACUGGCCUCAUAUUGACACUCAGACGCGAAGGCAUGGGUAGCGAACGGG
rnacentral:rRNA from 1 species